GGUUAAGCGACUAAGCGUACACGGUGGAUGCCCUGGCAGUCAGAGGCGAUGAAGGACGUGCUAAUCUGCGAUAAGCGUCGGUAAGGUGAUAUGAACCGUUAUAACCGGCGAUUUCCGAAUGGGGAAACCCAGUGUGUUUCGACACACUAUCAUUAACUGAAUCCAUAGGUUAAUGAGGCGAACCGGGGGAACUGAAACAUCUAAGUACCCCGAGGAAAAGAAAUCAACCGAGAUUCCCCCAGUAGCGGCGAGCGAACGGGGAGCAGCCCAGAGCCUGAAUCAGUGUGUGUGUUAGUGGAAGCGUCUGGAAAGGCGCGCGAUACAGGGUGACAGCCCCGUACACAAAAAUGCACAUGCUGUGAGCUCGAUGAGUAGGGCGGGACACGUGGUAUCCUGUCUGAAUAUGGGGGGACCAUCCUCCAAGGCUAAAUACUCCUGACUGACCGAUAGUGAACCAGUACCGUGAGGGAAAGGCGAAAAGAACCCCGGCGAGGGGAGUGAAAAAGAACCUGAAACCGUGUACGUACAAGCAGUGGGAGCACGCUUAGGCGUGUGACUGCGUACCUUUUGUAUAAUGGGUCAGCGACUUAUAUUCUGUAGCAAGGUUAACCGAAUAGGGGAGCCGAAGGGAAACCGAGUCUUAACUGGGCGUUAAGUUGCAGGGUAUAGACCCGAAACCCGGUGAUCUAGCCAUGGGCAGGUUGAAGGUUGGGUAACACUAACUGGAGGACCGAACCGACUAAUGUUGAAAAAUUAGCGGAUGACUUGUGGCUGGGGGUGAAAGGCCAAUCAAACCGGGAGAUAGCUGGUUCUCCCCGAAAGCUAUUUAGGUAGCGCCUCGUGAAUUCAUCUCCGGGGGUAGAGCACUGUUUCGGCAAGGGGGUCAUCCCGACUUACCAACCCGAUGCAAACUGCGAAUACCGGAGAAUGUUAUCACGGGAGACACACGGCGGGUGCUAACGUCCGUCGUGAAGAGGGAAACAACCCAGACCGCCAGCUAAGGUCCCAAAGUCAUGGUUAAGUGGGAAACGAUGUGGGAAGGCCCAGACAGCCAGGAUGUUGGCUUAGAAGCAGCCAUCAUUUAAAGAAAGCGUAAUAGCUCACUGGUCGAGUCGGCCUGCGCGGAAGAUGUAACGGGGCUAAACCAUGCACCGAAGCUGCGGCAGCGNNNNNNNNNNNNGUUGGGUAGGGGAGCGUUCUGUAAGCCUGUGAAGGUGUGCUGUGAGGCAUGCUGGAGGUAUCAGAAGUGCGAAUGCUGACAUAAGUAACGAUAAAGCGGGUGAAAAGCCCGCUCGCCGGAAGACCAAGGGUUCCUGUCCAACGUUAAUCGGGGCAGGGUGAGUCGACCCCUAAGGCGAGGCCGAAAGGCGUAGUCGAUGGGAAACAGGUUAAUAUUCCUGUACUUGGUGUUACUGCGAAGGGGGGACGGAGAAGGCUAUGUUGGCCGGGCGACGGUUGUCCCGGUUUAAGCGUGUAGGCUGGUUUUCCAGGCAAAUCCGGAAAAUCAAGGCUGAGGCGUGAUGACGAGGCACUACGGUGCUGAAGCAACAAAUGCCCUGCUUCCAGGAAAAGCCUCUAAGCAUCAGGUAACAUCAAAUCGUACCCCAAACCGACACAGGUGGUCAGGUAGAGAAUACCAAGGCGCUUGAGAGAACUCGGGUGAAGGAACUAGGCAAAAUGGUGCCGUAACUUCGGGAGAAGGCACGCUGAUAUGUAGGUGAGGUCCCUCGCGGAUGGAGCUGAAAUCAGUCGAAGAUACCAGCUGGCUGCAACUGUUUAUUAAAAACACAGCACUGUGCAAACACGAAAGUGGACGUAUACGGUGUGACGCCUGCCCGGUGCCGGAAGGUUAAUUGAUGGGGUUAGCGNNNNNNNNNNNNUUGAUCGAAGCCCCGGUAAACGGCGGCCGUAACUAUAACGGUCCUAAGGUAGCGAAAUUCCUUGUCGGGUAAGUUCCGACCUGCACGAAUGGCGUAAUGAUGGCCAGGCUGUCUCCACCCGAGACUCAGUGAAAUUGAACUCGCUGUGAAGAUGCAGUGUACCCGCGGCAAGACGGAAAGACCCCGUGAACCUUUACUAUAGCUUGACACUGAACAUUGAGCCUUGAUGUGUAGGAUAGGUGGGAGGCUUAGAAGUGUGGACGCCAGUCUGCAUGGAGCCGACCUUGAAAUACCACCCUUUAAUGUUUGAUGUUCUAACGUUGACCCGUAAUCCGGGUUGCGGACAGUGUCUGGUGGGUAGUUUGACUGGGGCGGUCUCCUCCUAAAGAGUAACGGAGGAGCACGAAGGUUGGCUAAUCCUGGUCGGACAUCAGGAGGUUAGUGCAAUGGCAUAAGCCAGCUUGACUGCGAGCGUGACGGCGCGAGCAGGUGCGAAAGCAGGUCAUAGUGAUCCGGUGGUUCUGAAUGGAAGGGCCAUCGCUCAACGGAUAAAAGGUACUCCGGGGAUAACAGGCUGAUACCGCCCAAGAGUUCAUAUCGACGGCGGUGUUUGGCACCUCGAUGUCGGCUCAUCACAUCCUGGGGCUGAAGUAGGUCCCAAGGGUAUGGCUGUUCGCCAUUUAAAGUGGUACGCGAGCUGGGUUUAGAACGUCGUGAGACAGUUCGGUCCCUAUCUGCCGUGGGCGCUGGAGAACUGAGGGGGGCUGCUCCUAGUACGAGAGGACCGGAGUGGACGCAUCACUGGUGUUCGGGUUGUCAUGCCAAUGGCACUGCCCGGUAGCUAAAUGCGGAAGAGAUAAGUGCUGAAAGCANNNNNNNNNNNNNNNNNNNNNNNNNNNNNNNNNNNNNNNNNNUUUAAGGGUCCUGAAGGAACGUUGAAGACGACGACGUUGAUAGGCCGGGUGUGUAAGCGCAGCGAUGCGUUGAGCUAACCGGUACUAAUGAACCGUGAGGCUUAACCUU
rnacentral:rRNA from 1 species